GGGACUUUUGGAUAUUGUAACCUUGUCAAUUUUUGCUCGUAUUUAAUCAUUCAACAUUCAUAGCAGUUGAAUGACAAUUAAACAUAUAUAAUUUAAUUUAAAGACAUUUAUUUUCAUAUGAACUUACCUUGAAAUUCAGAAUAAACGGACUGGAUCGACUAUUCAAUAACCUUUGAUUUUCCCCGAUCUAAAUCCAAUUUCUUUCGUUCUUGAUCUAUAUACAUUCAAAAUUAACUCAUUUAUUCAUCAAAUCAUUCAA
rnacentral:lncRNA from 1 species